AUUGAACGCUGGCGGCAGGCCUAACACAUGCAGGUCGAGGGGAUGACGGGUGCUUGCUCCUGGGUUCAGCGGAGGACGGGGGAGUACGGCCGAGAAAUGUGCCUGGUAGCGGGGGAUAACGUCCGGACACGGGCGCUUAUACCGCAUACGUCCUGGGGGAGAAAGUGGGGGUUCUUCGGACCUGCGGCUAUCAGUUGAGUCUAGGUCGAUUUAGCUAGUUGGUGGGGUAAAGGCCUACCAAGCCGACGAUCCGUGACUGGUCUGAGAGGAUGAUCAGUCCCACUGGAACUGAGACACGGUCCAGAGUCCUACGGGAGGCAGCAGUGGGGAAUAUUGGACAAUGGGCGAAAGCCUGAUCCAGCCAUGCCGCGUGUGUGAAGAAGGUCUUCGGAUUGUAAAGCACUUUAAGUUGGGAGGAAGGGCAGUAAGUUAAUACCUUGCUGUUUUGACGUUACCAACAGAAUAAGCACCGGCUAACUUCGUG
rnacentral:rRNA from 1 species